AUUUAAAUAGUUUAAUAAAAAUUUUAGUUUGUGGUUCUAAAGAUGCAUAGAAAUGUUUUAAAUU
rnacentral:tRNA from 1 species